UUCGUAGGUGGCCCGCUAAGUCACACGUGAAAUCCCUCAGCUUAACUGGGGAACUGCGUGUGAGACUGGCGGGCUUGAGUGCAGGAGAGGAACGCGGAAUUCCAGGUGUAGCGGUGAAAUGCGUAGAUAUCUGGAGGAACACCGGUGGCGAAGGCGGCGUUCUGGACUGUAUCUGACACUGAGGAACGAAAGCCAGGGAAGCAAACG
rnacentral:rRNA from 1 species